AUCUGUCUGGAGAUCUCUGUCUUCCUGAGGCCUUUUGAAGCUCCCACUGUGGUUUCUGAAUGCUUUGGUGCUGAGCAGCUCCUCAAUUCCCUCUGAGGCACAAUCAUUUGUUUACUUGCUCUGCUCAUUUCAUUCUGCACUUGUGUAUGGCAACUACAAGAUGGCAUGUCGACUCUGAGAAUUUGGGGGGAAAAAGGGAGGGAGACAGUUAAAAGUUCCAGCCCUGAAAGCUUUUGACACAUCUUUCUGUCCAUGUAAUCAAUCUUCUAAGUUUCCAAGAGCAGCUGAGAUUUUUAAAAACAGCUGUAAUCUGUGGUCAUUGAUGGUGGAGUAGAUUGUUUGCCAAACUAUUACCAUAACUGUCAACCGAAAUCAGAAAAAUAAUCUCAUUGUGCUGGACAGAUGCCUUUCCUGCAUUAUUGAUAUAGUCGCUGCAGAGUAAUGGAGAAAUAUAAAGCAUUGUUCUAUUUACAAAAGGAGAUUGGCCAAGUCCUUGAGAGUGAGCAGGAGGGACAGGCACUUAAAGGAAGUGAGAUAUAGUCAACUCAGUAAAAGUUAUGUGUCAGGGUCAUGUGGCCUCCAUAGUCAGCAGUAGAAUCUCAGUUUUCAAUAGCUUUUCCUCUCCUUUCUCACUUUCAGAUUUAGCUCCAAAGCUUAAUCUCUGACUAAAUGAGCUUACUAGUGCUUCAGUGCAGCACCAUGGAAUUCGCACAGCUUUUUCCUCUUGCCUCUGGCUGCCCCAAAUGCAUCUCGGGGACUGCCACGCUUCCAGAACAUGCUGAAAACAGUGCAUUCACCAUGCUCCACUUGAUAGCAAGGAUAAAGCAAGUCAGCACUGCCCAGUAGGAUACAAUACAGGAGAGUUUUGUUUGCUUGCCAUCGAGAUACUUCUGAAAACACUGUGCAAAGCAAUGAACUAAAUGUGAGCAUUGCAGCAAAUCCUUAGGCAGAUGGAGCAGCCAGCCUGCAUUUAGCCGUAGCGCCCACAGAGUCUUUUGCUGUUACAAAUGUUUGUAUAUAGAGAGGGGCCCAAUUUUGCUUCAGAAUCUGCUACAGUGAACCCAUAACCCCAAGUUCCCCAUUUAUAGCACAAAUGAAUAAAUAUCUAUAUAUUCAGAGGACUGGAGGUGGUACUGGAGCUUCUAUUUUCAUCUGAACACCAUGCAGGGGUCAAGUACAGUGAAAGUCCCGUGAUCAGCUGAGGACAGGCUCUGGGAGAUGCAUGGUUUCAUGUCCCCUUUAAUUUUAAUUUAUUUUAAAAUUACCUCACAUUUCACUGCAGGGAAAAGUUUCUCUUCUCAUCAGCUUUUUGAAAAUAUAAAAUUGGAUUUUAUUAUUUUUUUUUUUUUAGCAGGAAUUAUCAGUGUAAGUAGCCCUUGGUUUCUCUUGAAAAGAGAGAUUAGCUGUUACAAAAUGACAGCGGUUUUUAGCUUGUUCUUGUUGAAAAGCAGCUAUCUGAGAUCCAAGCCUUAUUUUGGAAGUAAUAUAAGUACUCUUCAGUAGCUUAAUGUUUUGAGGCAAUACAUGGCUUUUGCCUUUCCUUCUGGGGACAAAAACAUACAGAUGCACUCUUUGUCUCACCGCAAAUAAAGAUGGAAGUAAAAUCAGUUCAUCAAAUGUGGUGUAAUGAGAAUUAUUGUCAUGGUAUAAAAAUAAAUUAAUUAAC
rnacentral:lncRNA from 1 species